AGGCCUGGUGCGUAAGUCUACCCCACACAGUCCUUUGCGAUUUUCCUCUCCCACUUUGGGAGCCAGUGGAUGAAGAGGGUGGAACCAUAGAAUAGAAGGAACCCAGAUACAGAUCACUGUUCAGAGGAGAGCUGCCUGCCAGUCAGGAAGACCCAUUUUGGACUUUAUAAAUGCUCUGACCUUAAAAGGAAUAUUGGAGGCAGGAGGAAACAGAGGAAGCAAGAAGAAUUUCCUGGAAGGUAAUUAUUGUAAUAUAAGCAUACUUCGGAGAUAUUGCAGGUUCCGUUCCAGACCACUGCAACAGUGAAUAUCUCAAUCAACAUCUUCACCAGGAGUAGAUUUUAUCUUAAGAAGCCACUUUCUUUGCUCAUCCAGAAGCUACAACUCCUCAUCAUGAGAUUUCAGCAGUUCAGUUCCAUCUUCAGGCCCUAUUUUUAGUUCUCUUUAGUUCUCUUGCUAUUUCCACGACAUCUGCAAUGACUUCCUCAACUGAAGUCUUGAACCCCUCAAAGUAAUCCAUGAAGGAAGAUGACCACGGCCCCUCUGUUCCCUCGCCUGUGUGCCAAAUGGAUCCACAGCUAGAGACAAGCUCCUUCCCUUUGAACGGUGGGAAGCAGGCCAAGAUGUUUUAAAGACAGAUGGCAUCAGAUGCAGAGAAGCAAGCUGGAACUCGGAGCACAGCUGCCUUAUUUACUUACCUACUGGCUGCAUUUCUGAGAACCAGUUUUAUUCCUGUUCAAAGGAAGCCAGGCAGAGUUGGGAAAAUAUUUUCCUAGCCAGCUCCUUAGCACCACUGUCUGAGGGAAACCAUCUGGCCAAGAUGCCCUUCAAACUUCUUCUCGGCGCUGCAUUUUGAAUUGUUUCUACUAGUGUAUCUUGAAGUUUACUAAGCUUUUCUUCUGGAGUGUCUAAGAUGCUGUUCAUCUCGGCCAGUAUUUUUUCAUCUGUAGAAUUUAAUUCAGUCUUUUUUUAUGUUCUCCAUAUCUCUCCUUAACAUGCUCAUACAUUCUUCUACCUUUGUGAACACAUGGAGUAUAUUAUCACUUUUUAAUAUUCUGCUCCGCAUAAUUCUAGCAUCUGUAUCAUUUCUGUUUCAGUCAAUUUAUUUUUCUUCUUAUUCUGGGUCAUAUUUUCUUUUUGUUUUGUUUUGUUUUGUUUUCAGAAAGAGUCUCGCUCUGUCGCCCAGGUUGGAGUGCAGUGGCACGAUCUCGGCUCACUGAAACCUCCGUCUCCCGGGUUCAAGCGAUUCUCCUACCUCAGCGUUCCGAGUAGCUGGGACUACAGGUGCGCACCGCCACGCCCGGCUAAUUUUUGUAUUUUUUUGUAGAGACGGGGUUUUGCCAUGUUGCCCAGGCUUGUCUCGAAUUCCUGAGCUCAAGCAGUUCGCCCGCUUUGGCCCCUCAAAGUGUUGGGACUACAGGUGUAAGCCACUGUGCCCGGCCCUGGGUCGUAUUUUCCUGCCUCUUUGUAUGCCUGUUAAGGUUUGAUUGGAUGCCAGAUGUGGCUGGAAAGGUCACUCAUGAUUAGUUACUUCUACUAAUUCUCUGACUUCAUCUUCUAAUCUCCACCCCUCCCAGGUCUCUGAUUUUGCCACCCUGAACUUCUUGCACACUUCCUCGUUCAUUUGCACAUGCUGUCCCCUUUCUCUGGGGCACUCUUCCCUAGGCGGUCCCCAUGGGUUUCUCCCUAACUUCAUUUGGGUCUGUGUUCAAAUGUCACAUUACCAAAAACAUUCUAUCACCUUUCCUUGCUUUAUUUGCCUUUAAACAUUUAUAACCACUUGCCAGCCAUGUUACUUACUGAUUGUCUAUUUUUACCUCACCGCCCACCUCUGCUAAAAUGUACCAUGACAGCAUCACCGAGAACUACUGCCAUCAGCUAUAUAAUGAAACUAUUUUUAAGCAACAACAACAGCAGCAGAGAAGAGGGACCAACAGGGUCCAAUGCAUCAGAGGGGUCCAAACUGCAUAGUGUCUUCCAGGUUAAUCCAUGUUGUGCCAAACGACAGGACCUUCUUUUUAAAGGCUGAAUAAUAUUCCAUUGUAUACAGAUGCCACAGUUUUUUAAAUCCAUUCCUCCAUCGACACUUGGGUGGUUCCAUAUCUUGACUAUUGUGAAGAAUGCUGCGUGAAAAUAGAAGUGCAGCCUGAGCUUUUGCUGCGAUCUCCAAAAAAUCAUUGCCAG
rnacentral:lncRNA from 1 species